rnacentral:rRNA from 1 species
AUUGAACGCUGGCGGCAUGCCUUACACAUGCAAGUCGAACGGCAGCGCGGGAGCAAUCCUGGCGGCGAGUGGCGAACGGGUGAGUAAUAUAUCGGAACGUGCCCAGUAGUGGGGGAUAGCCCGGCGAAAGCCGGAUUAAUACCGCAUGAGACCUGAGGGUGAAAGCGGGGGAUCGCAAGACCUCGCGCUAUUGGAGCGGCCGAUAUCAGAUUAGCUAGUUGGUGGGGUAAAGGCCUACCAAGGCAACGAUCUGUAGUUGGUCUGAGAGGACGACCAGCCACACUGGGACUGAGACACGGCCCAGACUCCUACGGGAGGCAGCAGUGGGGAAUUUUGGACAAUGGGCGCAAGCCUGAUCCAGCAAUGCCGCGUGCAGGAAGAAGGC